CCAAUAAUUAUAAUUUAAAGAAUAUAAUUUUCCACACUAUAAAAUAUUAAUUGUAUAAAUAUAUACUUCAAAAUGCAAAUAAGAGAAAACAUGGCUCAGAUUCUUAAGUUUGUUAGUGUCUUAAUUAUUUUUCUUUUCAUAUUCGUCAUUGUAUCCCAUGGUAACGUUGUAACCAAUGGAGUUAUCAAAUGCAAGUCUCAUAAAAUAUGUCGUAAUCUACUGAUUAAUUGCUUGCAUCCUAAAUAUCCAAGGUGUGUAGAUAAUAUAUGUGAAUGUUUUUAAUAGUAGGAAUGAAGUUCAAAAAUAAUUAUACGUAUUUGUAACUAUAGAAGGAAUAAAUUAUAUAAGGAAUAAAGUUCAAAAAUAAUUCCAGUUGGCAACUAUAAUGUUGGUACUUUUAUUAUUUUCUCAAAUUUCAAUGUAUUUUCUCCGAACCUUCAAUAAAUUUACCCACUCAAAUACUUAUUAUUGUAUUA